AGAUCUUGCUGUGGGCCAGGUAUCCAUUCUCCUGCGACAGCUGUAGAACCUACGGAGACUAGAGGUCCGUGGGUGGUGGAGGAUCAUAACAAAAAAAGGAAAGGCGAGUGCUCCUGUGUCCCCUCCAGGCCGCACGCAGUUUCAGAACCUUUCUUCAGACUUUAGAGUGACUUGGCAGUUGUUUCCUCCUCCUUUCUUUUUGCAAAAGAUUCGUGAAGAAUUGUGUGAUGGUUCAUCUCAGUUGUCAGCUUGACAGGAUCUAGAAUCACCUAGGAGACAAGCCUCUGCACAUGCCUGUGAGGGAUCAUCCAGAAUGGAGGAUGUUAUUAUGGAACUUUAGCUGGCCUGGAACUCAUA